GGAGUUGGUGGGUUGGUAAGGGAACACCCUCAUAAAUUAAAACAACUACACGCAAUUUGCAGAAGAAGCAAAAUCGCAUUACUUGGAUAAAGCAGUGGUACAGGCCAUGGAAGUGAUGGAGACGUCAAGAUCACAGAGAGUCGCAUGACUAUAAGAACCCAAGAGCUGGAGCCUGGGCUCUUCUACGAAGCCUGGGGGAAGAACAGUUCAUUGCUAAAGGAGUAGAGUCCUUUUCUUUAUUUUAUUGUAUUUUUUUUUCAAGACAGGUCUUACUAUGUAGCACUGGCUGUCCUGUAACUCACUAUGUAGACCAGCCUGGCUUUGAACUCACAGAGCUCCUCCGGCUUUAGCCUCCAGAGUGCUGAGAUUAAAGGCAUACAUAACUACAGUUAGCUUUUGGGUGCUUUUCUAUUUUGAUAGGCAGAUUAGGCUAUACAAUCACACCUCUAGUAUGAUUGUCCCUUCCCAUCAUGCAUCAGAUUUUAAUCAUCUGCACACACAAUUGUCAUAGACAUAAGAUGGUAAACAGGAUUCCCUCUAACAGGUUACUGCAGUGCACAGUGCACUGUGCCUUGCUGCCCACGCUCCCACAACUACUUCGGGCCAGAUUGGUCUUUCUGUUCUUCACACCUUGGACAUAUACCAGAAUAGAACCUGUCUCAAUUUAAUUGUUACUAGGAGCAAGGAAACUCGUUUUAUUGUUUGGAGAUGUGAUUACACGCAUCCUGAAGCAGUUUUUGUGGUUGAUAGUGCAUUGUUUGGUGACAGGUGUGUGUGUAUAGCACGCCCUGGUGAAGGAAGUAGGCUUCCCGAUGCACUGCUACACGAGAGAUGUAUAACUUAUAACCAAGUGGGGAUCCUGGGAUACUAAACUCUCUCCUAUGCUUGCUCACAGGCUUGCCAAAAUUCAUGAUUCUCCUGCCUCAGCCUCCCAAAUGCUAGAAU
rnacentral:lncRNA from 1 species